CACUCUGUGGUCCGUGUUGCAUGGAAAGAAAAGGGACCUGAGAUAUGGGAAAACAUGACCUCCUGGGCGGGGCUAAUGGCUUGGUUCUGCUUGCUGGGGAGACCAGCCCCAAACUAGGGCUCCUUUCUUCCAGGCCCUCAGUGAAUCCUUACGCCUAUCUCUUCAGUUCUGCGGGUUUGAUGGGGCUCAGCUGAGUGGUUCUGGCUUGUGUCUCUUCUGGGGCUGCGGUCAGAUGACAACUGAUGCUGGAGGGAUCUAAGGGCUCCGCUUGGCUGGGUGUCCGAAAUGGCCUCUUCACUCACAGGUCUGGCACCUUAGCAGGACAGCUACAACAUCUGGAGGCUGGUCAGGCAUCUCUCUUGCCACAUGGCAUCUCCAUGUGGUUAGUGAGCUUUCUUAUAGUGUGGUAGAAUCAAGCGAGCUGGACUUCUUAUGCAGUGUCUGGCUUCAUCCAGGGCAAGCUUUCCAACAGGCCAAGGCUGCAGCUGUGGAAGUCACAUGACCUAGCGUUGGCAGCCGCAUGCCAUCAUUUUGGUGCAUUGACUAUGAGAGAUGUGGCUCAUGGUCCAGGUGCAGGGCGUCUGUAGAGACUAAUUAUCAUGGGGGUGGGGAGAUUACCCUGAAUUAUCCUGGUGGAUCCAAUGUAAUGCCACUGGUUGUUGUAAGUGAAAGAUGGAGGCAAGAAAGUUGUAUCAGAGGAGACGUGGUGACAGAAGCAGAGGUUGAAUGAUGUGAUUGCUGGCUUUGAAGAUGGAAAAGGACCAUGAAUCAAGGAAUGUGGGCAGCUCUAGAAGCUGGAAAAGUCAAGGACUGGGUUUUCCCCUCAAAACCUCCAGUUGGAGUGCAGCCCUGCCCACAGUGAGACUUAGCCCACUGAGACUUCUGACCCUCAGAACUCUAAGUUAAGACAUCAGCCAGCAGAUCAGAAGCACAAGAUGCAUAUCCUUCAGCCGUGAGCCAACGGAGGACCAGAGAGUCGUAACCGCAUCAGGCUCUCUGAGCUGGAAGCAAUUUCAAAGGGCAAAAGACCAACCCCUGGUUAUCCAGAUGAGGAACCCAGACCACAGAGAGAAAUGACUUGUCACUUGUCACAUCAGCCAGUAAGCUGGUGGCAGGACAGGCAUGAGAACUCUUAUUUCUUAAUUUUGGGGCCAGUCUCUAGGCUGCUCCUUGAGGAUGAAAGUGGAGAAGGGAAGGGAGAAAAAUAACAGAUACAUGUGGAGGAGGAAAAAAGGGAUUAAGGAGGAAAAGGAAGAGGCAGAGGGGAGAGGGAACAAUCAAAGUGAGGGGGCCAGAGUUCUCCAGACCCGCGGGUCCCAGAUGCUGUCUGACGACCAGCCACACAGUGUCAUCCGGCAAGAUAAAAGAAAAUAAAGUAUUUCCUAAAAUAGAAGGUGAGGGAAAAAUAAGGGCAAGUUUAAAAAGAAUGGGAAGUAGUGUUAUAAAAAUAUAAAUAGUGGGUACCAAUACUGACCCCAUAUUUUUGUUGUGCAGACUGAGGGAGAUUAAAGAUGUAGAUGUGCCUACUUGUGCACUGCAAAUCCCUGUGAAAACACCAGCUGUGUGACCUCAGGCAGGUCACCUCUCCUCUCUGCGUCGAACACAAGGUGCAACCACAUUGUCUGAGCAAGAACUGAAACUGCUGAGGCCGUCGAGGAAGAACACAGGAUGUUUCUGCUCAGAUAGUCCUUCAGUCCCUCUGCCCCAUCACGUUCACCUACCAGAGCUAAUGCAGGGGAGCAUUGAUCCAGAACAUGUGGGCAACAAAUCCCUUUUGCCUUAAUUGCCCAGAUGCGGCUGAGCGUGCAGGAGCCGGGGGCAUUCCACUCCUGCCCUGUCCACUGUGUCCUGCCUGCUGGGCCAGGCCAAGGCCCCCAACGUCACACGAUGGCACCUUGUGCCCGGUGCUCAGCACCCUUGGGCCACAGGACCAGGUUGGGCAGGCAAACUCCAUUUCUAGCUCAUCAGCAACUCAUUUUCAGAAGUUACCCCUUGGGGAGCUUGUUAAAAGGCCGUUGGUAUUCCCACGAGGGGGGCUCAAUUUGCCUUUAUGAAUGAACUGCUCCAGAGAAAUCAAUGAACAUGUCAUUCAGGUCAAGUAAACACAUGUGUUUUCUCUAUGGGGCCCAGUGCAGGGGUGGCUGAGCCUCCCUGUGGGCCUCAGCGGUCCCGAGAAGCUGCUCUGUCUGGGCCAAACCCUGGCUUCAGUCAGCACCCUGGGCUCUGGUUGCCACCCAGUUCCUGUGUGCUCCACCCCCACCUCUGUGUGGGGGGCCUGUUCCCAGAGACAGAGGAGUAGAAGUAGCAUCUUUGGUAUUUUAUGGUUGGGAAAGAUCCUGCAGAAAAAUCUUUCUCGGUUUUUGCAUUCCACCUUCCCUCUUCCUCAUUCAUUGACUCAGGGGACAUUUAUUAAGCACCUAGUAUGUGCCAGUCCUGUAUAUUCUAGGUGCAGGAACUCAGUGACUCAUAAGACAUGGGCCUUGACUGGGUCAAAGGACUCACAUUCUGUGUAGUGGUUCCUUCUGCCCUAGAAUCACUGCAGC